rnacentral:rRNA from 1 species
AUGAAAAUUGUAAGUUGGAAUUGCCAGGGGAUGCGGAAGCCCGCAGCGGUUCGAGCGCUCUUGGGGAUCCAAGGGCGGUUAAAACCUGAUGUGUUGUUUCUAUGUGAGACGCGUCUGUGUAGAGGCAAGGCAGAAAAGUUGAAGAGGAGGCUGGGUUAUGAGGAGAUGGAGGUGGCUGCUAGUGAUGGUAGAAGUGGUGGAUUAGUGAUGUUUUGGCAGUCCAACUUGGGGGUCACAUCUUCUGAGGUACACACAAACUUCAUUGACAUUUGCAUCAGAGAGUCCGAAGAAGCGGGAUGGCGCUUUACAGGUAUCUAUGGUGAACCAAGUGGUGAGCGGAAGUAUAGACUUGGGAUUAUUUGCGAGACCUGCAUGCAAAGGCCAAUCUGCCUUGGGUAA